rnacentral:rRNA from 1 species
AUGCGCACCCGAAGCAAGGCUGUCUUCGGUCUUCCCGUUGACCACCUGGACCUCACUGCUUCGCCAUCUCCCAUCUCCCCCAUCCCUAAGUCAUACAAGGCAGCCCUUCUCGACCCGAAUUGGUUUCACUCCAUGAAAGAAGAGUAUGAUGCGCUUCUCCUCAACCGUACUUGGACUCUCAUUCCUCGGCCUCCUGGAGCUAAUGUAGUCUCUGGUAAAUGGGUAUUUCGCCACAAGUUUCAUUCUAACGGAUCCCUCCCUCGCUAUAAGGCCCGUUGGGUCUGUUGCGGUGUUUCCCAAUAG